rnacentral:rRNA from 1 species
GAUGAACGCUGGCGGCGUGCCUAAUACAUGCAAGUCGAGCGGACGGACGAGGAGUUUGCUUUGGUGAUGUUUGCGGCGGGGGGGUGAGUAAUACGUGGAUAACCCACGUAUAAGAGGGUGACAACUUCGGGAAACGGGAGCUAAUACCUGCGGAUAUUUGGAACAGCCUGGGGCAAAAGUGGAAUAGGGUCAUGGUGUCAGCCGUUGAUGGAUCCGCUCUGCAUUAGCUAGUUGGUAAGGUAACGGCUUACCAAGGCAACGAUGCGUAGCUGAUCUGAGAGGGCGAUCGGCCACACUGGAACUGAGACACGGUCCAGACUCCUACGGGAGGCAGCAGUAGGGAAUCUUCGACAAUGGGCGAAAGCCUGACCGAGCCACGCCGCGUGAGUGAUGAAGGUCUUCGGGUUGUAAAACUCUUUUAGCGGGGACGAAACGAUGUGUACGUAUACGUCGAACUACUGACGGUACCUACAGAGGAAGCAACGGCUAACUACGUG